ACAAGUUACAAAAAAACGGACCAAAUAGCAUUGGCGCGAGUUGUUCUUCUUGUUCACAAUUCACAAAACCCUAAAUCCUAAUGGCUAUAAUCUCCCUCAAAACUCUCUUCUCUCCUCCAAUUCCCCAAAUUCAAGCUGGAAUGGCCAAUGAAUCUGAACCUGUAGUCUGUGAAGAUGCAAUUCCGCCACAGAAAGCAAAAAGAGGAAGUGUGAAGAUGAAGAUCAGAAUGAAGUUAUUACAGAGAAGAAGAAGAGAGGCGAGGUUUUUGAAAUCUUAGAGGAUAGGGUUGGAAGUAAUUCAGAUUAUUCUGAACAUGACAAGAAACUUAAAGCUAAAAUCGAAUCUAAUACCAGUCGCGGAUCUUUGGAAUCAUUCGAAGAUGGUGUCUCAGAUCCUACCUCUAACAAGACAAUCCCAAAGGUUUGGAGAGUCUCGAGUACAAUGAGGAAGAAGUAGAGGGAAAAGUCGCUAAAACACCUCAGGAAAGGCAUGGAUCUCCAGUCACUCUAAAUGAAAAUUAUGCUGCAUCGAAGACAAUAUGUGUUAAAAACUUGUCAUAUAGUGUGGAACAUACUGAUAUAUAUUUUCAAAGAUUGUGGUGAAGUGGUUGAUAUCCAAUUCAAAACAGAUUGUGAAGGAAGGUUUAGAGGCUUUGGUUUUGUCAAAUUUGAAACAGUAGAAGCAGCACAAAAAGCCCUCAAGUUGCAUAAUACAGAAUUAUUGAAUCGCCACAUCAAAAUUAACAUAGCUCAGGAAAAGAGUGAAUAUCCUCCCUAUAGAAGUUCAUUUCAUACGGAUGGAAAUCUUUACUCUCACACUGUAAAGGGUUUUGACGCAUCUCUUGUAGAAAACAAGCCUAAAAGCCCAGUUACACCAAAUGAAACAAAGGGUACAUUGAAGACAGUAUAUGUCGGAAACUUGUCAUAUACCGUAGAACGAGCUGAUAUGGAAAAACUUUUCAAAGGUUAUGGGGAAAUUGUUGAUAUUCGUCUCCAUACAGACCGCGAAGGGAAAUUUAAAGGAAAUGGACAUGUUCAGUUUGCAACAGAAGAGUCAGCACAAAAGCAGCUGGAGCAUCCAAUUCCACAAGUGCGGAAAUUUUCAGCCUCCUCUAACUGUAUCUGUGAUUGGAUUUAAUACAUCCCUUGCCGAAGAGAAGAUAAAAGCUAGCUUGCACAAUCAUUUCGAAUGUUGUGGAGAGAUUGCAAGGAUCUUAUUACCAAGACAUCAUGGUUCUGGUGUUAUUAAGGAGCAUGCUUUUUUGGAUUUCAAGGAUAUUGAUGGCUAUAAGAAUGCACUAAAACUUAAUCAAACUGAGAUAGGAGGUUAUUGGGUGUCAGUUGUAAGCGCAGGCGGUGGGAAAGGUAACUAUCGCGUCGGUG